ensembl:misc_RNA Metazoa_SRP Metazoan signal recognition particle RNA
GCCGGGCGUGGUGGCUCACGCCUGUAAUCCCAGCACUUUGGGAGGCCGAGGCGGGGGUAUCACCUGAGGUCAGGAGUUUGAGGCCAGCCUGACCAACAUGGAGAAACCCCAUCUCUA